rnacentral:rRNA from 1 species
GAGUUUGAUCGUGGCUCAGAUUGAACGCUGGCGGCAUGCCUUACACAUGCAAGUCGAACGGCAGCACGGGAGCUUGCUCCUGGUGGCGAGUGGCGAACGGGUGAGUAAUGCAUCGGAACGUAUCCUGGAGUGGGGGAUAACGUAGCGAAAGUUACGCUAAUACCGCAUAUUCUGUGAGCAGGAAAGCGGGGGACCUUCGGGCCUCGCGCUCUUGGAGCGGCCGAUGUCGGAUUAGCUAGUUGGUGAGGUAAAGGCUC